AUAGAUUUGUCAAGCAUUGGAAUUCCUAGCUAUGACGAGCUUCAAAGAUGCAAUUCCAAGGUCCUACUCACCACAAGGAUCAGGAAUCUUUGUCAUUCUAUGGGGUGCCAAGAACCUAUUCCUCUCAAUAUCCUAUCAGAGGAAGAUUCUUUGAAGCUAUUCAUGAAGAAGUCGAGAAAGCCUUUUCAUGGAUCUACCGAUUCCUAUGAUGAGGAGAGGAGCGUAGUUGGGCAAUGCGCUGGUCUCCCAAGUGUAUUGGAACAGGCUGCAAAGGCAUUUGGACAUAAAUACAUGGCAGAAUGGAAUACAGCAGUUUCAAAGGCAUUUGGAGAUAUGUCAGAUAAUGAUGAUGAAUUGCAAAAAGCAGCUCGUGAAGUAAAUGCAUCUCAACUUGUUCCCACUAAUAAGGAUGAGAGAGAUACGUUUAAAAGGAUACAAUUAACCUAUAAUACCUUGAGAUUUGAUGAUGCCAAGUCAUUUUUCUUGCUUUGCUGCAUGUUUCCAGAAGAUUAUGAUAUUCCAAUUGAAAAAUUGUUGAAGUACAGCAUUGGAAAAGGUUUGCUUCACUAUUCUGACACGCUGCAAGAAGCUAGAGCCAGAGCACAUUCUUUGAUAGCAUACCUUCAAGCUUCAGGGUUGCUUUUGGAUGGCAAGAAAGGAUGCAUAAAAAUGCAUUGUGAGAUCCGAAAUGUGGCCAUGUCUUUUGCGUUGUCUGAAGAAGGUCAUGCUUUUUUCAUAAAAGCUGGUUGUGAUUUGAAGGAUUGGCCAAUGGAUGCUCAUGAAGGCUACUCGGCAAUCUCACUAAUGGGGAACAAUCUUAACAAGCUUCCUGAAACUUUGGUAUGUUCUGAACUCCAAAUUUUACUGCUGCAAAAUAAUGAUGGUAUAUCUGAAAUUCCAGAAACUUUUUUUCAAAGUCCAAAUGCACUAAGGGUCUUUGAUCUUAGCUAUACUGGUAUUUCAGUACUACCCUCUUCAUUCAAUCUCCUCACCAACCUCCAAGCCUUGCAUUUGGAUUGUUGUAAUAGAAUAACUGACAUAUCCGUACUUGGGAAGCUGAAGAAAGUUGAGAUUCUUAGUUUGAGAAAAUUUCCUCAUAAGGAUUUGCCGAAAGAGAUAGGAAAUUUGACCAGCCUAAGGAUGCUGGAUGUCACUGGUGGACGUGUUCACAAAAUUCCAUCUAAAGUGAUAUCGAGGUUGUAUAGACUGGAAGAAUUGUAUAUGAGAUGUGAAUUUGGUGAUUGGGGAAGUAAAGUCGAGGAAGCAGUAGGAGAAACAAAUGCCGACUUUGAUGAGAUAAUUGGCUUGUCCCAUCUAAACAUUUUGAAGGUUUACAUAUCUGAUGCCGCUUGCUUACCCAUAGAUAUUGGGAACUUUGAGCUAAAUUGGAUAAAAUUUGACAUAUGCAUCAGCAGAUAUUUCUCAUCAGAGUUGAUGCUUUCUUCAAAUGAGCAACCUUCAAGAACCUUGACUCUUGACAGAACAAUCAAUGGCUUAUCGGAUUGGUUUAUCAACAUAGUGACCGAGAAAGCAGAAAGACUAGAGUACAGAGAGGGUAAGGGAUUAAACAACAUUCUUGAGGAAUAUGAGCAUGGGAGAUUACAUGGGCUGAAACAUCUCUCUUUAAUUGGGUGCCAUGAGAACUUGGAAGGGUUGAUAGAUGCAACAACUUGGGAUCCAAGUAAACCUGUGUUCGAGAGCUUGGAGGAGUUACAUCUCCUUCACUUGCAAUGCCUCAAAGAGUUAUGUGUUGGCGAAUUGCCAGUUGGGUCUCUAUGCAAGCUUAAGUUGUUGAAAGUGCAAACUUGUCGUAACUUGGUAAAUGCACUUUUGCCACCAAAAUUGUUGCAGAGACUAACAAAUCUAGAAACCAUAUUUUGUGUAAAUAUGGAACACAUGAAGUAUUUGUUUGGAUCUGAAGGGCUUGACCUCGGAACGAUUCUUUUGACAAAAUUGAGUGAGAUGAGAUUGUGUGCUCUGUUCGAACUCAUAAGCAUCUGGAAUGGUCCCGCUCCCCGUGCAGUCUUUGGGAAUCUUAAAGUUUUGGCAGUCUGCAAGUGUACAAAACUGAAAAUUCUAUUCCCAUUUGAUGUAGCUCAGUCUCUUGUGCAAUUGGAAGACCUCUCUAUAGAGCGCUGCCCCAACUUGGCUAGAGUUAUUGAAGCAAGCAACAGCUUCGACAGAUAUAUCUUUUUUCCACAAUUGAAGAAAUUAGCUAUGAUAAAUCUUUCAGAGCUAACAUGGUUCUGCACUGAAAAUGGUUCUAUGGGUAUCGAGUGCCCUCUAUUGGAAUACUUGUACGUGGAUGAGUGCCCCCAGUUCAAAAACACUGCUUCUGCUUCUGUUAUACUCAAUGAUCAACAGCAUUUGAAUUCUCUAGCAAAAAGGUAUGUCUCUGUGUCAUUACCUUCAUUUGUCUUAUAUAUAUUGUCAAUUAUCAUGCUGUCCUUAUUUCUUCUUUUCUAUUCAAGCCAUGCCAUAAAAUCCAAAGACAUAUUUGGCUACUCCUAUAACACAUCUUGAGCUUGAGCUUAUAUCUAGCUGGAUUAUAUAUGCACCAAUAAAUCUACUUGGUGCAUCAAAACUCAUGUAACUCACACCAACAUAAUCUUAACUAGCUUGUCAUUUUGAACCUUAAAGUUCCCUUUGUUACCAUUUAGCAUGAUCACACAUUCACAAUAUUUUGAAAUUCUCUUUCAGUAGUCAACUAGCUUAUUGACCAACAAAUUAAUGGACACUACCUAGAUGAUGGAUGUGUAAACAAAGAUAAAUUGAAUACAGAAAUUUUGUGAAUAGGUUGUCUGUUAAUAUUAGUAUAUUACAAAGUAAUAUGUAUAUUUAGGCAUUCUUAUUUCAGCUCAUCAAUUUACUUAUCAUGGUACUGUUGCAUUGCUGCCUUUUGCUUUGAACUUUUUGUACUGUUACCCUGAUAUGUUGAAGCACUUGAAUAUAGCUAAUUAUGUACUUUCUUUUUCGUUUCAUAUUUGAUCAGAUGGGAGGAUAUGCAUAAGCUUUAAGAGAGCUGAUGCAGGGAAAGGCAUAAGAAAGAGAUGCUCAGCGGUAAUUAUAUGCUCUUUCUUUUUUUGAGAAAGAACUAUAUGCUCUUUCAUUCCAUCACAUAAUCAAAACAGUUCUUGUUCUGUUUUACUUCUGUUAUCAACAAUAUUUCCCAUGUAGUUGUAAAGUAAUUUAAUGGCUUCAUGAUGCUUUUCAACAGUAUCUGCACACUGUUUGAUCUGUUGCUUGCCAUUAUGUUUCAUUAUCAAUUUUUUCUUCAGUGACAGCAAGAGCAUGUUUCGUAGGUGGUUAUGUGUUCUCCUCAAAAGAUGCUUAUUAUCUACAUAGAAAAGCUUAUGAAUAUUGUUGAAUUUACUCAGAAAACAUGAUGAAGUUUUCUACAUAACUGAUAACUGCGUGAUGAUGGCCAUGGAUUCUUUGGUAAAAGAUGGUUUGGGAGUUAAGAGAUUGGCCAAACAACGCAAAUGAAAGCAGCUCUGCAGUCACUCAUAUGAAACGAAACACAGCUUUUGAACUGUAGUAAUAUAUUCACUCUCUUCCAGUUUGUCUUUGUUUAUAAAAUUUCAAUAAACCAAAACCAACACAGCUGGCUCGUUGGAAAUACAGAAAGUAAUUAGUUAAUUACCCAUUUAUUAGUCGAGUAAAUUCUUCAAAAUGAGUAAAAUUGAAUGACCAGUGUGCCGCUGUGGUUCAAAACAGAUUUUUGGGCCUAAAACAAAUGCUAAGUGGCUUGGCCCAACAUCAUGGGUCGGGUCUUAAACACACUCAUUUAAGUUGAUCCAAAAACCCGAAUUGCAAUAACACAUCGUCAUGUUUCAAGUUUCAAUAUCAAAUGUCCCAACUCCUAAGUAUCUUAUAGAGGGUAAGACUCGAACUCUUUCCAUGUGUAUGUGGGAAAAGUCUACAAAACUCAAUAUAAGCUUUGAUCAGGGCUAAAAGAGCAAGAAUUUUGCCUACGAAUUAGAUUUGCGUUGAUAUAGAGAUAACUCGAAUAGAUGAGAAAACUAAAACAUCGCAUAACAACUUACAUUACGAAUUAGAUUUGCGUUGAUAUAGAGAUAACUCGAAUAGAUGAGAAAACUUAAACAUCGCAUAACAACUUACAUUGAUUAAGUUAAAGAACCUUGAAUGACUAGUGUGGUCAGCUGUGACAUGGUUGUUAUGUAACUAACCAACAACAUUGAUGUCAUGAGUUCAAAAAACCUACCGACAUAUGAAGUGUGUGAAUUAUAUAAUAAAUCUAUAAAAAAAAUAUAUCUGAAAGAAUGUUAGACACGGGCCAAUGAUAAAACCUAUAAACAAGUACAUGGGUCGGGUUAACUAUAAGCAAGGCCCAACUACAUGGGUCGGAUUAGACCGACCAACUUGGAGUCCUUGUCAUAUCAAAAGUGCCAAGUGCCAAACCGAGAAAAGACCGCGCAGAAGCACUACUCAAACGCUCCGAUUCCGCGCGUGGAGGUCACUCGCUUCACUAUGAAGCCUGCGGCUGUCUCGUUCGUCCUCUCAUUUGAAACUCCGGCAAUUUCCUCUUACUACUCACUUUUUUACUGUCAUUUGAAACUUUACAAAUUUCGAUACAAAAACAGAACUUGAUUGAGUUCUCGUUUUUCUAUUGGUUUCGAGGUUUACAUAAUCUGGUGGGAUAGAUUGGUUUGAUGGUAUUUUGUGUUUUGUGAUCAUCUGGCUCUUUAUAUUCUUAUAUUGGUUUUGAUUGUAUUUUGGGUUUCGUGAUCAUAUCAGUUUUUGGUUCUGAGUAAGAGUAUACCUUCAAUUUUCAUAGAUUGGUUUUGUGAGAUUCACUGAAACAAAAUACCUUCAAAGUCUAUAGUGACUGGGGUGUCCAGGCUUAUGUUCUCUAGCAGUUUCAGUCCAAAACCAAACCCUUUCUUUAAUAUUAAAGUCGUUUGUGUCAUCAUUUCAUGUACUGAAACAAUUUGUUUUCCUAUCAAAGAUCAUAAUUGUUUUGUGCUUUGAUCCCAACUUUUCAAGUCCCUUCCAAUUUAGGCCCACCUACAUGGGUUGGUCCGCUCAUGGAGUCCUACCACUGCAAUGGCCCAGUCCAUCAAACUCUAGACGCAUGAACAACUUUGCCCAGUGGCUAAGUGGCUGCUUUUGAUGACGCUCUGGUUUCUAAGCCCUGUUGUCCCCUGCUGAUCAACUAGGUACUUACUAGUUACUACUCUCACUUAACUUACAUAUCUGAUUUUUGAUGCUUUGUCGUAUCUGUGAAAAUGGCUCAAUUCUAAAGGGUUCUCUUUUUUCUCUACAAUCAUUUGGAAAUUCAGCCUUUACUGUGAAAUUCCAACUCAUAUAGAAGAAGCUUCUUGAUUAUUUUCUCUUCAGAAACAUGCUUCUUAUGAAUCAUCUUAAAUAAUAUUUGUGGUAUUACUGAGUCACAUGUAUUCUAGUUAGUUGGUUGUGCUUAGGAUAAUAUUCGAGCGGAUUCUUGCUACAUAGAUAGUUUUCUUCAAACUAGUGUUUGUCUGAUUUCGAUCAUUGCUUCUGUAAUUUGCUUUUCAUUCUCUUCGUCUUUUGUAAUGCAUUUUAUUUUCUGGUAACUUCUGUUCUGUACACCGAUGUCUUUUGUAACUUCUGUUCAAACUUGUAAUUGUUUCUGUACUACCAUUGGAAAUUAGUUCUGCAGAACAUUUCUUUUGUUAUAAAGAUUGUGAAAAAGUUGAAAUCUUUACUGUACCGUUUUGUGGGAUUGUGAUUGAUGAUUAGUGGUUUGGUUUAACUCACGUAUUGUUAUUUGGGGAUACUAAACUUAAUUUCAAUUGGUUGAUGUGAGACUGGGAGAGGAUAGGAGUGUUCAUGUAUCCUAGGUGGUCUUCUGGUUGCUAGCUUUUCUUGUCGAUUACAAAGAGCUGAGAAUCAAGGGGAUAGAAUUGUUUGAUACUUAUAUGUUUUGUAUUUUGUUGGCUUCUGGAUUUUAUAUCGGCAGUGCUCCAUUUUUUAAAUUGGACACGUGUUUUGUAAGUUAAAACAAAUCCAAGGUUGUAUAUAUUGCUACCAAGAUAUUUGAGUUUGUAUUUGAGUUUCACUGUAGAAUUUGUACUUUCUAAAUCAUGCUGGUGUUUUUUUUUCUCAAACCUUCAAGAGAACUCUUUGGCCCUCUUUGGCUUAGUUUCGUGGAAUAUUCAUUUGUUACCUCUAAAUUGAUAAACAAUACAUUCAUGCUCUCAAUCCUCGCAUCAUUGAUUUGCCUCUUUUGUAUGAGCUCAAGAUUUUAACUUUCGGACAUUUGCUUUUUUCAUGGGCUCGCAGAUCUGGUGUCCAUGUUGCCAUAGUUUUCCUUUCUAUGAAGGCACAAAUGUUGAGGAACCCAAAACAAAGGUAAUUUUGUUGAACUAUAGUCAACCUAACUACUCAAUUAUUGCUAAUUAAGUAUUCAUCAAUGUAAUAACAUUAUUGGUAGCUCUGAGCAUUUUGGUUCCAAUUGCUUGUUCUCUUGUUGCAUAUCUUGUCCUGUAUUAUUCUGAAGACCAAAAACAGAAAUGAGAAAAUGACUUUAGUUUGCUUAGUUAGCUGACCCCACAAUGAUACAUGAUGUCCAUAUUUUAUCAAUUUAUCACAGAAUGUAGGGUUCUGCAAACUAUGUCAUUCAAAUUGAUACAUAGAUGCACGCAAGUAUGGUUUCAUGAUUUGAAGAUGAAAGAUGCAUUUAGUUUGGCAGAAAUAAAAGCAAGAAUUGCUGUGUGUAACCAUCAGGUUGAAUUCAUUGUAAUGUAGACACAAUUAUGAACGUUGUUCAAUGAAAGAUUAGAGAGCAAUAGAGUUAUGAUCUGAAGUGUGGAAAGAUGAUCAUUGCUGUAAAUUUGGUUGUACACCUCUAUGCUGAAAUUGUAGAAACAUGGUAAAUGCUCCUAAAGUUAGCCAGUACCUGAUUAACCUCCCCUGUCUUAACUCCUUCAACAAAGAUACUUACGGUGCUUUGAUGAGCUUUGCAUUAUAUAUUUGAGUGUUACACAGACUUAUCAUGUUGCUAAAUCAACAGAACUCAUUUCUGCACAUAUUUCACUCGUCAUGGUCAUUCACCUUAAUCAAUUUUCUACUGGCAUUUUAUGUAUCUGGAUUACAUAGUUUUGCCACAUAAGUUUCACUCAUAUGUCAAUAUAUUCCAAAGGUUGUUGAUCAAGCUGAAGCCACAAAGUUGAUUGAUCUAACUAAUGUGUUGAUGUAUCAUCUUGCGGAAAAAACUUCCAAACUCCAGAGAGAUUCCAGCUGCAGCCAUCCCAUAAACUUUGCAAGAGUGAAGAGAUGAGAUGAUAAGAAUAAUGCCUAGGUAUGUUCACCUUUUUCUACCAGUCUUUACUCUUUUGAUUUGAGUCGGUGUCUACUGUCUAGUGGUUGAUUGAUUAUGUCAAGUUACACCUAUAUUGGGGUAAUUGGUAAGCAUCAACUGCUGUUAUCCCACACGUAAAACCAUUCUUCCAUUCGAGUAAAUUAGAUUCUUUCCCAAUGCUUAUAAUGAGCUCAUUGUAUUUCCUGUCACUCUCCAACUUAUAUCAAAAGAAAGUGAAUCAUAAAACAGACCAAUGAAGUCACCCCUCAUUGUUCUUUUGAUUCUUUGUGUUCUUGCUUAUUUGGAUGACUAAACCCUAUGUAGAGUACAUAGGGGGUCGUGAUUCACAAUGGACUCAUGAUUAUAGUCAUAGAGGCAUGUGCACGGUUGCGCUGUCACAGUCUCUGAUAGAUUGUUUUCUAUAUUUUGUGAAUAAGAUUUAUUUAUUUCCAGCCGGUAGCAUCUGGAAAGUGGAAACAAAAGAAAUGACAGACUCGAACGAAUAUAGGCAAAGGGAAUUUGGCCAUAUAUUACCUGUUCAAUCCUCAUUAAUCACCCCGCCUAGUCAAGUUGAAGGGGAUAGUAACAUUUGACAGUUUCAUACCAACCCAGAGCACCUUAUUAGUAAUCGUAGUUAGGAGAAAUAAAGCAAGAAUUGAUGUGUGUAACCAUCAAGUUAAAUUCAUUGUAAAUUAGAUGAGAACAUGGAUGCUGUUCAAUGAAAUAGUAGAGAGCAACAGUGGAUCGUAAGUAUGGAAAGAUGAUUAUGGGUGUAUACAAUUUUAUUCUACACCUCUAUGCUGAAAUUGUAGAAAAAAGGUAAAUGAUACUCCUGAAGGUUUAACCAUGCAAGUACAUGACUACCCUCCCCCAUCUUACCCCUUUGACCAAAGUACUUACUAGUAAAUGGUCAGUGUACAAUCCUACCUAAAUUGUCUGAUUGUAUGUUGGUACACAUCCUUUCUAAUACCCUUGUACUAAUCAUGCAAGAUACAAAUUGAAAUAGUCUGUUUGCAUAUAGCUAUUGGUUUCCCUUUUUAUAUUAGCUUACGUUUGGUUCUUUUUUUUAGAUUUUAUUUUAUUAUUAUUAUUUUUUUAUUAUGAGAGUAUCAACGACGGUAGAGAAAUUUUAAAUACACACCCCCGAUCUCUUAAUACACACCCUUUACUUAAUACACCACCUAUCAAAUUUUUCAUUUCAGUAUUAUACUUAAUACACAUCCCAAACUGCUUAAAAUGCCUUUAAUUUAAGAAAUAUUCUAUUAUUUAAUAUAAUUAAUAUAUGUUUACUAUUUGGUACCUGUUUGUACAUAUUAUUUCAUCUAAUUUCUGCUAGAAAUUUUUGGUUAUCAUCGUUCAAUUUAUAAUCAAUUGAUUAUUGUUAUAUCCUAACUUCAAAUCACCAAUACAAGUUUUCAAAAUUCACAAGCUAGUAGAACUGUAGAAGUACAGUAGCUAUUAAACAUAGAUAACUAGUUAUUCGAUAAAACAUGUCAUGAUAAAGAUGCAGUACUUUGACAAUAAGAUCUGCAAGAUCAAACUAAAGUUGAUACAGAUAAAAAUAGAAGAAAAAAAACCCAAAUGAAUAGUUAGUUAUAUAAACAAUAUGUUUCUGACAAUUUAGUAAUCACUAAGCUGCAUUCUUUCUCCUUCACUAUCGACAUCACCAAGUCGAACGAUUUCAUUCUUUCUCCUUCACGUUCAACUCAUGAUCAAUG
rnacentral:lncRNA from 1 species